CCCCAACUAAACUGGCCAGGCGCACUUAAAAUUCUAAGGCCUCCAUUUGAAAAAGGGAUCCUGUCAGUUUCUCAAUAGGCCACCCGCCCACAGAAACGGGGAGGUGGCGACAGGGAACGGCCCCUGCUCCAAAGGACACCCCUUGGCUCGCCCCGAGGCUGGGCUCGAAGGGACCCCGGGGUGGCGGGGGACGGAGCAGCGUAGCCCUCCAGAGUCGAGCUGAAGGGGAAAGGGUAGCGGGUGGGUCGCCUGGUGUCCUGGAAGAACGGGGCGCGAGUCCCCCGCGCUGAGUCAGGGACCCCGGGCGCAGAAGGCCACGCAGCGGGGACCGGGGUCGGGGGGCUGGGGGCGUCCGGGGACCCCCGCGCGGGUGCGGGUCGCGGGC
rnacentral:lncRNA from 1 species